rnacentral:rRNA from 1 species
ACGGGAGGCAGCAGUGGGGAAUAUUGCACAAUGGGGGAAACCCUGAUGCAGCGAUGCCGCGUGGAGGAAGAAGGUUUUCGGAUUGUAAACUCCUGUCGUUAGGGAAGAAAAAGGACGGUACCUAACAAGAAAGCUCCGGCUAACUACGUGCCAGCAGCCGCGGUAAUACGUAGGGAGCGAGCGUUGUCCGGAAUUACUGGGUGUAAAGGGAGCGUAGGCGGGACUGCAAGUCAGAUGUGAAAUAUACGGGCUUAACCUGUAGACUGCAUUUGAAACUGUAGUUCUUGAGUGAAGUAGAGGUAAGCGGAAUUCCUAGUGUAGCGGUGAAAUGCGUAGAUAUUAGGAGGAACAUCGGUGGCGAAGGCGGCUUACUGGGCUUUUACUGACGCUGAGGCUCGAAAGCGUGGGGAGCAAACAGGAUUAGAUACCCUGGUA